AUUAUGCUUAACAGAGUGUCUAAAGAAAAUUUCCUUUUUAGCCCAUUCUCUUGGUGGCUUGUUUGCUCGAUAUGCGGUAGCUGUCCUUUACACACCAAAUAACUUGGCUGAUGGAGAUCUAAAUGAUGCUUCAAUAGCAGGCCGCUCAACAAAGCAUGGUUUAAUUGCUGGAUUGGAACCUAUAAAUUUUAUUACACUAGCUAGUCCACAUCUUGGAGUAAGAGGGAGGAAUCAGGUACGUGAAGGCUGAAGGGAAGGAACCUGAAAUUAAAAAAAUAAAUAAAUAAAAAAAAAAACGAAUGGUUUCACAAUGCUGGUACUGGUGUUGUAAAACAUGUUGCUGACAGCCUGAAGCAGCAAGAAUCUUCAUAUCUCACGGCCAACUUAUAGCACUGGGAAUUGUCGAUGUAUGCAGUAACACGUGAGCUACGGUGCUAGUUUUUUAACGUCUUUUGAGCCUAAAAUGUACCUAUACUAAAGGCAGAGGCGACACGACUGUACACUGAUUCAUUCUUUAGGUCCAUUUGGGGAAAAUCUAUUCUGGGGUUCAGGGAAACGGUGGAUGGCAAAGGAUGCAGUCGCGUGGCAGAGAAGCAAUGGUAUAACUACGAUAACAACAGUUGUAGCAGUGGAUAUGCCUGUGGGCACUACACCCAAGUUGUGUGGAAGCAAACCAAAAUGGUUGGAUGCUCCAAAAUAAUAUGUGACAGCGGGAAUUCAUUCAUUACCUGCGAGCAUGGGCGGAGCCAUGUGAGGACAAGUGGGGACCAUUGUCCCCCCACUUUCAAAAAAAAAAUCAGAGAAUUUUUUUUUUUAAAAAAAAAACACAAAGAAAUUAAUCAGCAAGUACAUCACGUGGGCUAAAGAGAAAGAAGAAAAGAAAAAAAGGGAGGAAAGAGAAAAGUUUGAAUAUUGAAAAACCUAAGAGAGAGAAAGUAGAUCUUGCACCACCAAGUGACCAAGGCACCGCCCACCGAGGCAGCGACUGUUGGAAUUUCCACCGCCACUGCGCCCCUACAGUCCAGCCCCGCUGCUCCGGCAUACGGCAGCCCACACAGCAAGUUUUUUUUUUCUUCUAAUUUUUAUCUUAGAUUAUAAAAAAAAUUAAAGAAUUAGUUUAUGAGUAAUUGUGUUUAUGUAAUCAUGUUUUUGAAUUAAUUUGUGAUUUAGUUUAUUUGUUAUUAGUUUGUGAAUUGAAUUGUGAUUUUGUGAAUUAUUUGGUGAGUAUGGUGAAUGGAAGAUUGAAAUUUUGAAAGUAGACAAGUAGUUUGUGAUUUUGUGAAUUUAA